GGGGCCGUAGCUCAGUAGGAUAGAGCAAGCGCCUCCUAAGCGCUGUGCCGGCAGUUCGAUUCUGCCCGGUCCCG
rnacentral:tRNA from 2 species